rnacentral:rRNA from 1 species
CCCUUAGAUGUUCUGGGCCGCCCGCGCGCUACACUGACGAAUGCAACGAGCUUAUAACCUUGGCCGAAAGGUCUGGGUAAUCUCCAAAUUUCGUCGUGAUGGGGAUAGAUUAUUGCAAUUAUUAAUCUUCAACGAGGAAUGCCUAGUAAGCGCAAGUCAUCAGCUUGCGUUGAUUACGUCCCUGCCCUUUGUACACACCGCCCGUCGCUCCUACCGAUUGAAUGGUCCGGUGAAGCGUUCGGACCGUGGCCUUUGGACGGUUCGCCGUCUGUUGGCUGCGGGAAGUUCGUUAAACCUUAUCAUUUAGAGGAAGGAGAAGUCGUAACA